rnacentral:lncRNA from 1 species
CACAAAACAACAAUGGAUACAUCUGAACCCUAACCAAGACAAUGGAACUCUAACCACCCAAAACACCAUAACCACGAACGGAAAAGAGAGGAAGAGAGAAGGAUGAAAUAGAACUGAAACGCUCACCGGAGAAGACUUUACUGCUGCCACCUAUACUGCCGCCAUAACCACCUGAACCCGCCGGAACUCCAUGACCAUCAACAACCCGACUCUAUCCUUCAACGAUAGAAGUCGACGACCUCCUCUCAGCCGCUAACUCUAAAAUAAUCCAAAUGACCCACCAGGGGCGGCCAUCUCCAUCUCCCAACAACACCCAUUAAACCCGCCGGCAAAACCAGAAACCCACACCCUAAUCCCUUUCAAGAGAACCUUCUAGAACCGAUAGAAGUCGACGACCUCCUCUCAGCCGCUAACUCUAAAAUAAUCCAAAUGACCCACCAGGGGCGGCCAUCUCCAUCUCCCAACAACACCCAUUAAACCCGCCGGCAAAACCAGAAACCCACACCCUAAUCCCUUUCAACGACCACCUUCUCCACACCACAAGCAACUUUCAGCCGUUAUCCUCACCACUCACACGCAUGCACAUCAUCAAAAAAUAGAGAGUGAACGAAAGGGAGGAGGGGGAACGUCCCAUUCCCUCUAGGUUCUAGUUUCAUUAUCAAGGAGGUUGUUCUUCCAUAUUUUUAAAUUUCAGAUUUGAUUUGGACAUUUUUAUUAAUCUAUCGGGAAGAUUUUACUGCUCAAGGGUACUCACAUCCUUUCCUACUGAGUUGAUCAGAGUUUGGGUGUUGAAGACGUUCGAGGUCGUCGAAUUCCCGUCCGCUACUCCGAUAAUGGUCAUUUUCCGAUUUGUUUUCUGAGUCGCGACUUUGGAUCCGUCAAUAGAGUUCUAAUUCUCUCUUUGUUACUCCAUAUUUCUCAAUAUGAUGCGUGUGUUUAUGACUUACUAUAUGAUGCGUGUGUUUUUGUGCGUUUAUUUUAAUUUUUAUGUUUUUGCCUCAAUUGAAUAUUUUAAAGCCAACUUGAUCAUGUACACAACUGUGACCGUCACGGGACUUGGGGAGUGCCUAAUACUUCUCCCCGAGUCAAAUAAACCCCCUUACCCUUAUUUCUGGUGUAGACUUAGUUUAGAGUUCAAAAUGUUUUGAAAGGAAAGUUAUUAUUUUUAGAAAAAACGAUGACCUAACACACCGAAAUCAAAUGUCAGGUGGUGACUCUGAGUUUUUUCCUUUUGAACACACAAUUUUGUCACUUUAAAAAUUGAAAAUCCUUUUUCAAGCUUUUUUUUUAAAUCCUUUUUAUUUAUUUAAGAGGUUUAAGUGGGGUUUGGUUAAAAGAGGGGUGUGAAAUAUCUUGCGACUCCGCUGGGGACUUGGGAGCUCGAGCUAGUACUUGAUUUUUUUGGGUUUUUAGAAUAUUCGGUUGAGGUUUUUCUGUGUUUUUUUUUGCUUUAUUUGAUUUUUAUUUUGUUUAUGUCAUUUUAUUAUUUUCUAGUUGCUUAUUUGUUUACAGUUUUUCCUUUAUGUGUUACUGCUUUAUAAAUUGUCAUCAUUUGCAUAACCAUGUGUCUUCUUUCUGCAACAAGUCUCGGAGCACGCGUCGCGUGCACGAACUCUUUUUGAGUCACCCUUAAUUUAGGGGAGGGGGGUGGGGGGCGUCGGACGUAUGGAGUGGGUGCAAAGCUUGAGCAGCCACUAUCGACGUCGGAGCACGCGUCGUGUGCAAGGACUCUUUGUUGAGUGACCGUUAAUUAAGGAGGGGAGGGGCCGUCGGACGUAUUGAGUGGGUGAAAAGCUUAAGCAGCCACCAUCGACCAUACGCUCCCCCGAAUUGCCUUGUUAGUGAACCCCAAACGUAGGCCAGCCUUUAGGUCAUUUUUAUUUGCAUCAUGUUAUUUACACCUAGCAUGGCUCGGUCCCAGGUACCGUUUCCCUUUGUAGGGAGCCUGUCCAAAUUUUGUCAAAAUGGGCUCGUGGCCCAAAAUGACAUUUAAUCAUCCUAUGUGCUAAAAGUUGCAUUUAUGAGGGUAAAAUGGUCAUUUGGCGGACUGAUGUUUGGAAGGAAGGGUGACAAUGAAUCAAGUAGGGCCCACUCGCUUUUUUUUCUUUUUUCUUUCAUAUUUUUCCAAAAAAAACAAAUGAAAAAGAAAAAUCUAAUUUUUUUACACUUUUUCAUUAUUUUUCAAAAAUCCAAAAAAAGGAAAAAACAAAAGAAAAUCCAAAAAGAUUUUACAUUUUUCAUCACUUUCCAAAAAUUAAAAAAAAAGAGAGAAAAAAAGAAAAUCCAAAAAGAUUUCACAUUUUUCAUCAUUUUUUCAUAAAGAAAAAAAAUAGUUUUUUUCAAAUUAGAUGCAUUAUUUUGAAAUCUAUCAUAUAUUUAAUCUUUUCGAACUACGUGAACCUGAUUCUCGUCUUUCGAGGCGAUAUUCAUAGUCAACCCACAUAGGGUGUGGUCUUCCUAGUCUUAGGUUCUUGGCUUUCUGGGGUCUUAGCCAAAUCUUGUAUGUCUAGCCACUUUAGGCCAAUCGAUCAUUGUUGCAAAAUGGGGUCAUUUUCGCAAAAGUGGGUCAAUUUCCCAUAUCUUAGGGUCCACAACUAGGUGUCAUAGUACUUUAACGUCCUUCCUUUUUGAGUUUGCAUUUUUAGCCACAUUUGGCCAUAGGUCAUUUCUGCAAAAUGGGCCAUUUUUGCAAAGUAAUAUUUUUAAGGCCAUGAUUGUUGAGAUGUUAGAGUCAUGCAAGAUUUAAAUGGAUUAUUUUUCAUGCAUUAGGGGGUCAACUUUGUCAAGUUUGCACUAAUAGCCACUUUCAGUCACUCAAGUCAUUUUGUAAAAUAUAGCCAAAUCGUGUCUUGCAUCUGUCCACUAGGAGGAGUUGUGACAUCACAUGUGUCUUCAGUCACUAACUCUAUUUGAUCUUAUUUUUCACAUUUAGGUAUGGAUACAAGUACCCCAGGACCAUCCUAGUCAAGAUCAUUGCAUGCACGAGCAUUGUGGCGUCAUAGUGUCUCGAGUCACUAAUCUAUUUGGUAUUAUUUUUCUCAUUCAGGUAUGAAUUCGUUUACCACAGCUCGAGCAUAACGAAUAUCUCAGAACCACUACAUUCAGGAGCUGCUUAAGGAGCCUUUUUAUAUUUUGAAUUUGUUUUCAUGUUUUCUUACUUGUCUAGUAUAGUAGUAUUCAGUCAUUUUAGUUGGUGUCAAAUUUUUCGUAGUAUAGUUUAGUUUUUCUAGUCUUAUUAUAGUACCUCCUGUUUUGUAUUUGAAAAACC